GGACAGAUAAGCUAAGAAAAGCUUACGGGCUCAUGCCCCGUCGAUAGGUGUUACCUUCUUUCCA
rnacentral:tRNA from 1 species